rnacentral:lncRNA from 1 species
UAAUUAUGCUACGUACGUGUAAAAGAAUAAAUGGACAUGCGUGCAUGGGCAUCAUGCUUUAUAAGAUAUAAUAUUUUCAUCUUUGUAAACGCUAUAUUACAUUUUUGAGUUCAAAUUAUAUGUACCUGCUGCUUAUUUGGUUUUGUUCCUUGUAUGUGGGAAUGGACUCUAAUAUUUUGUUCCAAAGUGUGAAGGAAUUAGAGUAGUGCUUUUUAUGUUGGCUUCUUGUCUGCAUUAUAAUUACUUGCCACAAAUUUCUUUUUGGGUGUUUUAA